rnacentral:rRNA from 1 species
UACGUAGGGUGCGAGCGUUAAUCAGAAUUACUGGGCGUAAAGCGUGCGCAGGCGGUUUGCUAAGACAGGUGUGAAAUCCCCGGGCUUAACCUGGGAACUGCGCUUGUGACUGGCAGGCUAGAGUACGGCAGAGGGGGGUGGAAUUCCUGGUGUAGCAGUGAAAUGCGUAGAUAUCAGGAGGAACACCGAUGGCGAAGGCAGCCCCCUGGGCCUGUACUGACGCUCAUGCACGAAAAGCGUGGGGAGCAAACAGGAUUAGA